GAAAUAUAACAAACGUACACAACAUAAUUCUCCCUUUGAUCAGCAACAUGAAAUUUCAUUAGACCAAAGAAUAAUUCUCGUAGAAAACAAUAUACGAGUUUUGUGCACCGCUUCAUCUCAUGUUCCAUUUUAUCGCGUUGUUGAAUCCGGGAUUUCUUCGAAGGAAAGUAAGGUGGAAGAAGAUCAUUUCUUUGCAUAUAAGGUUGAAGUUAUAAUUGAGGCGAGUUCGUUAUUGAGUGCGUACUGACGACAAGAGGUUUUGAAAUACAGGUUUGUGAUCCAUCUAUUAGGAUGUCACCUCAGCGGAUAAGGUUAAUGCACUCCAUUUGUUCCGAAGAUGCCAGGAGUCAGCAUGG